AGGAUAAUAGUUUAAAAAAAACAUUUGAUUUGCAUUCAAAAAAUAUUAAAAUAUUAAUUUAUCUU
rnacentral:tRNA from 1 species